CCAUUUAAUGCACGAAUCCUUUUUUAUAACAGUCUCGUACUCCCAAUCUUUGACUAUGCGGAUGUUAUAUGGGGAGACAAAAAUAAUACAGUGUUAAUGAACAAUCUUCAGAUACUCCAGAACAAAGCCGCCAAGAUUGUUUUAGAUAGACCAUAUUUUUCAUCGGCAACAGACGCGUUAAGCACUUUAGGCUGGACCACUCAUAGAUGUUUAUUUGUUUUUAAGUGUCUAAAUAAUCAUACUUCACAUGGAUUUGAACUUCUAGCGAACAGAGAAAUACACAACUACAAUACGCGAUAUAAGGACAAUUUAAGGCCACCUAAAGUGUCAAGGAAUUGGGGAAAGCAAAGACUCGCUUAUCAGGCCAUAACAGACUGGAACAAUUUGGACAAAAAGAUAAAACUAUCUACUAGUAUUUCUACAUUUAAGAGAAACUUUUUUAGCAAUCUUUGAACCGUAUAAUUUUUAAAUAUUUUUCAUAGUUAUGUAGUAUAUGCAUGUCUUUCUUGUAUAAUAGUUUAUUUAGUUCAGGACCUUUCUGAAAAUCACUUUGUGAGAAAGCUUCCUGAAAUUAAAUAUUAAUUAAAAAAAAAAAAAAAAACAACAAAAAAAAACAACAAAAAAAACAACUUGUUGACAAACUUGCUACAAGCCUGUUGCGAACACAUCUUGUUGACAAGUUGCGACAUUUUUACGUGUGUAGAACGGUUCAUACUGUAACCCAAGAUGCAGGGGCGGAUCUAGGAUUUUUCGUACCUCAGUCAAAAAUUUUUGGCGGACGGGGCGUUGUCAGCGCGGGGCGUCGUCAGCGCUGGGCGUAGUCUCGACUGGGCGUGAAAAACGUAUUUAGAUUAAAUUUAAA
rnacentral:lncRNA from 1 species